rnacentral:rRNA from 1 species
GAUGAACGCUGGCGGCGUGCCUAACACAUGCAAGUCGAGCGGCAGCGAGGGGUGCUUGCACCCUGUCGGCGAGCGGCGGACGGCUGAGUAACGCGUGGGAACGUGCCCCAAAGUGAGGAAUAACUGCCCGAAAGGGUAGCUAAUACCGCAUAUUAUCUUCGGAUCAAAGGAUUUAUCCGCUUUGGGAGCGGCUCGCCUCGGAUUAGGUAGUUGGUGAGGUAAUGGCUCACCAAGCCGACGAUCCGUAGCUGGUCUGAGAGGAUGACCAGCCAGACUGGAACUGAGACACGGUCCAGACUCCUACGGGAGGCAGCAGUGAGGAAUCUUCCACAAUGGGCGAAAGCCUGAUGGAGCAACGCCGCGUGCAGGACGAAGGCCUUCGGGUUGUAAACUGCUUUUAUAAGUGAGGAAUAUGACGGUAACUUAUGAAUAAGGAUCGGCUAACUACGUG